rnacentral:misc_RNA from 1 species
GAUGAAGAACGUAGCGAAAUGCGAUAAGUAAUGUGAAUUGCAGAAUUCAGUGAAUCAUCGAAUCUUUGAACGCACCUUGCGCUCUUUGGUAUUCCGAAGAGCAUGCCUGUUUGAGUGUCAUGAAAAUAUCAACCUUGACUUGGGUUUUGUGCUCUAGUCUCGGCUUGGAAUUGGGUGCUUGCCGCUUUUACGAGCGGCUCACCUUAAAUGUAUUAGCUGGAUCUGUCUUUGAGCCUUGGUUUGACUUGGCGUAAUAAGUAUUUCGCUAAGGACAUUCUUCGGAGUGGCCUCGUUUCUAGGACGCUUGUCCGCUUUCCAAUACAAGUUCCACCUCGUGGACAUGACUUUUUAUUAUCUGGCCUCAAAUCAGGUAGGACUACUCGCUGAACUUAAGCAUAUCAAUAAGCGGAGGA